rnacentral:rRNA from 1 species
UACGGAGGGUGCAAGCGUUAUCCGGAUUCACUGGGUUUAAAGGGUGCGUAGGCGGCGUGGUAAGUCACUUGUGAAAUCUCUGAGCUUAACUCGGAAACUGCAUCGGAUACUAUCCGGCUCGAGGGUUGGAGGGGGGACUGGAAUACUUGGUGUAGCAGUGAAAUGCGUAGAUAUCAAGUGGAACACCAGUGGCGAAGGCGAGUCCCUGGACAACUCCUGACACUGAGGCACGAAAGCUAGGGGAGCAAACAGG